GACGAACGCUGGCGGCGUGCUUAACACAUGCAAGUCGAACGGAAAGGCCCUUCGGGGUACUCGAGUGGCGAACGGGUGAGUAACACGUGGGUGAUCAGCCCUGCACUUUGGGAUAAGCCUGGGAAACUGGGUCUAAUACCGAAUAGGACCACGCGCUUCAUGGUGUGUGGUGGAAAGCUUUUGCGGUGUGGGAUGGGCCCGCGGCCUAUCAGCUUGUUGGUGGGGUAAUGGCCUACCAAGGCGACGACGGGUAGCCGGCCUGAGAGGGUGACCGGCCACACUGGGACUGAGAUACGGCCCAGACUCCUACGGGAGGCAGCAGUGGGGAAUAUUGCACAAUGGGCGCAAGCCUGAUGCAGCGACGCCGCGUGAGGGAUGACGGCCUUCGGGUUGUAAACCUCUUUCAAUAGGGACGAAGCGCAAGUGACGGUACCUAUAGAAGAAGCACCGGCCAACUACGUG
rnacentral:rRNA from 1 species